GACGAACGCUGGCGGCGUGCUUAACACAUGCAAGUCGAACGGAAAGGCCUGCUUUCCCUUGUGGAUUGCGGGUACUCGAGUGGCGAACGGGUGAGUAACACGUGAGUGAUCUGCCCCCAACUUGGGUAUAAGCCUGGGAAACUGGGUCUAAUUCCCGAUAGGACUGCAGGGUGGUGCCUGUGGUGGAAAACGAUUUUCUAGUGGUUGGGGAUGAGCUCGCGGCCUAUCAGCUUGUUGGUGGGGUAAUGGCCUACCAAGGCGGCGACGGGUAGCCGGCCUGAGAGGGUGGACGGCCACAUUGGGACUGAGAUACGGCCCAGACUCCUACGGGAGGCAGCAGUGGGGAAUAUUGCACAAUGGGCGGAAGCCUGAUGCAGCGACGCCGCGUGGGGGAUGACGGCCUUCGGGUUAUAAACUCCUUUCGACCGCGAGGAAGCCACCUGGUUGGAAGGGUGGUGACGGUAGUGGUAGAAGAAGCACCGGCUAACUACGUG
rnacentral:rRNA from 1 species